rnacentral:rRNA from 1 species
GCCAGCCCGCUCAGAAACUCAAAGGAAUUGACGGGGCCCGCGACAAGCGGUGGAGUAUGUGGUUUAAUUCGAUGCAACGCGAAGAACCUUACCUGGUCUUGACAUCCCGGAGACCCUUAGGAAACUAGGGGUGCUCCCAUCUGGAAGAAUCUGGAGACAGGUGCUGCAUGGCUGUCGUCAGCUCGUGUCGUGAGAUGUUGGGUUAAGUCCCGCAACGAGCGCAACCCUUGCCUUUAGUUGCCAGCAGUUCGGCUGGGCACUCUAAAGGGACUGCCGGUGUUAAACCGGAGGAAGGUGGGGAUGACGUCAAGUCCUCAUGGCCUUUAUGACCAGGGCUACACACGUACUACAAUGGCCGAUACAAAGGGCAGCGACACUGCGAGGUGAAGCCAAUCCCGUAAAAUCGGUCUCAGUCCGGAUUGGAGUCUGCAACUCGACUCCAUGAAGUUGGAAUCGCUAGUAAUCGUGGAUCAGCAUGCCACGGUGAAUACGUUCCCGGGCCUU